GAGUUUGAUCCUGGCUCAGAUUGAACGCUGGCGGCAUGCCUUACACAUGCAAGUCGAACGGCAGCACGGGAGCAAUCCUGGUGGCGAGUGGCGAACGGGUGAGUAAUGUAUCGGAACGUACCUUUCAGUGGGGGAUAACGUAGCGAAAGUUACGCUAAUACCGCAUAUUCUGUGAGCAGGAAAGCAGGGGAUCGCAAGACCUUGCGCUGAUUGAGCGGCCGAUAUCAGAUUAGCUAGUUGGUGAGGUAAAGGCUCACCAAGGCGACGAUCUGUAGCGGGUCUGAGAGGGUGACCGGCCACACUGGGACUGAGACACGGCCCAGACUCCUACGGGAGGCAGCAGUGGGGAAUAUUGCACAAUGGGCGAAAGCCUGAUGCAGCGACGCCGCGUGAGGGAUGACGGCCUUCGGGUUGUAAACCUCUUUCAGUAGGGAACAAGGCCAGUGUUUAGCUGGUUGAGGGUACUUGCAGAAGAAGCGCCGGCUAACUACGUGCCAGCAGCCGCGGUAAUACGAAGGGUGCAAGCGUUACUCGGAAUUACUGGGCGUAAAGCGUGCGUAGGUGGUUCGUUAAGUCUGAUGUGAAAGCCCUGGGCUCAACCUGGGAAUGGCAUUGGAUACUGGCGGGCUAGAGUGCGGUAGAGGGUAGUGGAAUUCCCGGUGUAGCAGUGAAAUGCGUAGAGAUCGGGAGGAACAUCCGUGGCGAAGGCGACUACCUGGACCAGCACUGACACUGAUGGACGAAAGCGUGGGUAGCGAACAGGAUUAGAUACCCUGGUAGUCCACGCCGUAAACGAUGGAUACUAGCUGUUUGGAGCAAUCUGAGUGGCUAAGCGAAAGUGAUAAGUAUCCCACCCUGGGGAGUACGAACGCAAGUUUGAAACUCAAAGGAAUUGACGGGGGCCCGCACAAGCGGUGGAGCAUGUGGUUUAAUUCGAUGAUACGCGAGGAACCUUACCAAGGCUUAAAUGUAGAUUGACAGGUUUGGAAACAGACUUUUCUUCGGACAAUUUACAAGGUGCUGCAUGGUUGUCGUCAGCUCGUGCCGUGAGGUGUCAGGUUAAGUCCUAUAACGAGCGCAACCCCUGUUGUUAGUUGCCAGCGAGUCAAGUCGGGAACUCUAACAAGACUGCCAGUGUAAACUGUGAGGAAGGUGGGGAUGACGUCAAGUCCUCAUGGCCCUUAUGGGUAGGGCUUCACACGUCAUACAAUGGUCGGUACAAAGGGUUGCCAACCCGCGAGGGGGAGCUAAUCCCAGAAAGCCGAUCGUAGUCCGGAUCGUAGGCUGCAACUCGCCUGCGUGAAGUCGGAAUCGCUAGUAAUCGUGGAUCAGCAUGUCACGGUGAAUACGUUCCCGGGUCUUGUACACACCGCCCGUCACACCAUGGGAGCGGGUUCCGCCAGAAGUAGGUAGCCUAACCGCAAGGAGGGCGCUUACCACGGCGGGGUUCGUGACUGGGGUGAAGUCGUAACAAGGUAACCGUA
rnacentral:rRNA from 1 species